AUACUAGGUACUUCUCCCCACAAGAUACUAGGUACUUCUCCACAAGGUACUAGGUACUUCUCCCACAAGGUACUAGGUACUUCCCCCACAAGGUACUGAGUACUUCUCCCCCACAAGAUACUAGGUACUUCUCCCACAAGAUACUAGGUACUUCUCCCACAAGAUACUAGGUACUUCUCCCACAAGGUACUAGGUACUUCUCCCACAAGAUACUAGGUACUUCUCCCACAAGGUACUAGGUACUUCUCCCACAAGAUACUAGGUACUUCUCCC
rnacentral:lncRNA from 1 species